AAACAGGCGCCUUUAAAUACUGUCUGACUAACUGGUAAAAACCAUAAAACUCUCCCAGGGGUGUACAUUUAAAGAUGACUUCCUAAAACUAUCUAAAACCCUCAAUAAACCAUAACAACAACCAUAAACCAUGUAAAACCCCAAGCUAUCUACAUAAAAUCCUAAACCAAACACCAAAGAUAAAUAGAAACCUCAUAACCAUAUAAAAAGCUAAACUUGGCUCCCCUAUACAUUUCCCUGCCUUGGUCCAGCCCGGAACCUUCUUAAGGCAGUCGUUUCAGCCCCGGCCUCUUUUAGGGGACGGACCUGGACACAAGGACAAGGGCCCAACCACUCUACUAUAAAGUGCUGCAGUGCCACUGGAUCUAAAACCAGGAAAAGGAAAUGCAUUCAAUAAACAUUUAUACAAAUAA